rnacentral:rRNA from 1 species
AAAUUGAAGAGUUUGAUCAUGGCUCAGAUUGAACGCUGGCGGCAGGCCUAACACAUGCAAGUCGAACGGUAGCACAGAGGAGCUUGCUCCUUGGGUGACGAGUGGCGGACGGGUGAGUAAUGUCUGGGAAACUGCCCGAUGGAGGGGGAUAACUACUGGAAACGGUAGCUAAUACCGCAUAACGUCGCAAGACCAAAGAGGGGGACCUUCGGGCCUCUUGCCAUCGGAUGUGCCCAGAUGGGAUUAGCUAGUAGGUGGGGUAACGGCUCACCUAGGCGACGAUCCCUAGCUGGUCUGAGAGGAUGACCAGCCACACUGGAACUGAGACACGGUCCAGACUCCUACGGGAGGCAGCAGUGGGGAAUAUUGCACAAUGGGCGCAAGCCUGAUGCAGCCAUGCCGCGUGUAUGAAGAAGGCCUUCGGGUUGUAAAGUACUUUCAGCGAGGAGGAAGGC